AACGAACGCUGGCGGCAGGCCUAACACAUGCAAGUCGAACGCCCUAGCAAUAGGGAGUGGCAGACGGGUGAGUAACACGUGGGAACCUUCCCUAUAGUAUGGAAUAGCCCAGGGAAACUUGGAGUAAUACCGUAUACGCCCGAGAGGGGAAAGAUUUAUCGCUAUAGGAUGGGCCCGCGUAGGAUUAGCUAGUUGGUGAGGUAAUGGCUCACCAAGGCGACGAUCCUUAGCUGGUCUGAGAGGACGACCAGCCACACUGGGACUGAGACACGGCCCAGACUCCUACGGGAGGCAGCAGUGGGGAAUAUUGGACAAUGGGCGCAAGCCUGAUCCAGCCAUGCCGCAUGAGUGAUGAAGGCCUUAGGGUUGUAAAGCUCUUUUGCCGGGGACGAUAAUGACGGUACCCGGAGAAUAAGUCCCGGCUAACUUCGUG
rnacentral:rRNA from 1 species